GAUGAAGAACGUAGUAAAAUGCGAUAAGUAAUGUGAAUUGCAGAAUUCAGUGAAUCAUCGAAUCUUUGAACGCACAUUGCGCCCGCCAGUAUUCUGGCGGGCAUGCCUGUUCGAGCGUCAUUUCAACCCUCAAGCACAGCUUGGUGUUGGGACUCGCGUUAAUUCGCGUUCCCCAAAUUGAUUGGCGGUCACGUCGAGCUUCCAUAGCGUAGUAGUAAAACCCUCGUUACUGGUAAUCGUCGCGGCCACGCCGUUAAACCCCAACUUCUGAAUGUUGACCUCGGAUCAGGUAGGAAUACCCGCUGAACUUAAGCAUAUCAAUAAGCGGGGA
rnacentral:misc_RNA from 1 species